UACGUAGGGUGCAAGCGUUGUCCGGAAUUAUUGGGCGUAAAGAGCUCGUAGGCGGUCUGUCGCGUCGGCUGUGAAAACCCGGAGCUCAACUCCGGGCCUGCAGUCGAUACGGGCAGACUGGAGUUCGGCAGGGGAGACUGGAAUUCCUGGUGUAGCGGUGAAAUGCGCAGAUAUCAGGAGGAACACCGGUGGCGAAGGCGGGUCUCGUGGGCCGAUACUGACGCUGAGGAGCGAAAGCGUGGGGAGCGAACAGG
rnacentral:rRNA from 1 species